rnacentral:rRNA from 1 species
AUUGAACGCUGGCGGCAGGCUUAACACAUGCAAGUCGAGCGGGGAAAGGUAGCUUGCUACCUGACCUAGCGGCGGACGGGUGAGUAAUGCUUAGGAAUCUGCCUAUUAGUGGGGGACAACAUCUCGAAAGGGAUGCUAAUACCGCAUACGUCCUACGGGAGAAAGCAGGGGACCUUCGGGCCUUGCGCUCAUAGAUGAGCCUAAGUCGGAUUAGCUAGUUGGUGGGGUAAAGGCCUACCAAGGCGACGAUCUGUAGCGGGUCUGAGAGGAUGAUCCGCCACACUGGGACUGAGACACGGCCCAGACUCCUACGGGAGGCAGCAGUGGGGAAUAUUGGACCAUGGGGGGAACCCUGAUCCAGCCAUGCCGCGUGUGGGAAGAAGGCCUUUUGGUUGUAAAGCACGUUAAGCGAGGAGGAGACUACCGAGAUUAAUACUCUUGGAUAGUGGACGUUACUCGCAGAAUAAGCACCGGCUAACUCUGUG